CAGGAACCCGGUGUGAGUCCGGGGCGGUCCCGCCACUGUGACCACGUUCGCGUGGGAGUCAGGAACUG
rnacentral:sRNA from 19 species